CAAGUGAGACGCGACCGUUUCUUCACCGACUCGCGAAAACUUGUCGCGCGUCGCGAAUCGUCCGAAUUAUCGAGAAUCGGGGAAGAAAGGUAAGAAAUAUUCGCGAAAAUAGUAAUAUUAGAUCGAGAUGUUGUUUGUCGAAUGAGGGUGCAAUGAUUCUCAACAAGUACGCGCUCAAAUUACUGCUUCAAUAGUCGCGAAAUUUUUUUAGCAACAUUGUCGCCAUAUUUUCUUCCGCCACUGCAAUAUCAUGUCGUAUCGCGAAUCAUCUGAAUUAUCGAGAAUCGGGGAAGAAAGGUAAGAAAUAUUCGCGAAAAUAGUAAUAUUAGAUUGAGAUGCUGUUUGUCAAAUCGAGAUGCAAUGAUUUUUAGCGAGUACGCGAUCUAAUUUUAUUGCUACAAUAAUCGUGUAUUUUUUUACUCUACAACAAUCGCCAUCUCUCUUCUCCCAUCGCAAGCAUGUCGCGAAAAGUCUUAUGACUUCAAGUACGACGCCAUUGUUUCUUCACGGUUGUCGGAAAAGUAUUGUCGCGUCGUGAAUCGUCCGAAUUAUCGAGAAUCCGGGAAGAAAGGUGAGAAAUAUUCGCGAAAACAGUAAUAUUAGAUCGAGACGUUGUUUGUCGAAUGGAGGUGCAUUGAUUUUUGGUGAGUACGCGAUCAAAUCGCUACUUCAAGAGUCGUGAAUUUUUUUUUUUCACUUUGCAACAAUCGCCAUCUCUCUUCCCCCAUCUCAAUCAUGUCGCGAUAAGUCUAUGCAAUCUCAAGUCAGACGCCAUUGUUUCUUCAACGGUUCCCGGAAACUUGUCGUGUGUCGCGAAUCGUCCGAAUUAUCGAGAAUCAGGGAAGAAAGGUGAGAAAUAUUCGCGAAAAUAGUAAUAUUAGAUCGAGACGUUGUUUGUCGAAUGAAGGUGCAUUGAUUUUUGGUGAGUACGCGAUCAAAUUAUUGCUCUAAUAAUCGUGUAUUUUUUUGCAACAAUCGCUAUCUCUCUUUCCCCAUCGCAAUCAUGUCGCGCGAUCUACUUCAAAUAAGACGCCGUUGUUUCUUCAGCGGUUCUCGGAAACUUGUCGCGUCGCGAAUCGUCCGAAUUAUCGAGAAUCCGGGAAGAAAAGUGAGAAAAUAGUGAUAUUAGAUCGAGAUGUUUGUCGAAUCGAGGUGCAGUGGUUCUUCGCGAGUACACGAUCAAAUUAUUACUUCAAUAAUCAUGAAUUUUUGUAACCUGCAGCGCCACCUUUCUUCCCCAAUCUCAAGUGAUAAGUGAAACUCACUUUACGUGAGACGCGGCGGUUUAUCGGUUCGCGAAAACUUUUCUCGCGCGCGUGAAAAGUUUUGAGAAGUGUUUGUGAAGUGUUGUGAGAUAUAAAAAUAAAAAUAUAAAGUGUGAAAAAAAGUGAAGUGUCCUUUUUGGGAUUACCAUUGGAUUACCAUAUUGGAUUACUAUUGGAUUACUAUUGGAUUUCGUUUGGCUCGAACCGCGAUGAUAAACUUGCUGCGUACUACACUCCGGCAUUCGUGAAUAUCGGUAGCAUGAUAAGCCGCGCGCGAACGCUUUGACUGCUAGAUUCUCGAGUGUCGAACGGAUGUUGUUUCGUGCGAUUAUAGUUUUUUCUAUUUCACGCGUCGUGUCGGGAAUGCCGUGCAAAGUUUCGCGCGUCGAGAGUACCGCGUAAAAUGUCGGACGAUCGUAAUUAUUCGUGUCUUCGCGAGUAUCGUGAGUGCUACCAAGAGAGGAGGAGGAGGCCCAGGGAGGCAUCAGGCGACGUCGGGACAACUAUGAGAUCAACGUGCUACUCCGCUAUUGCGCCAGUCGACGAAAAAUCUCCUUCAUUGACUUGCGUAACCGAGGAGAUAAGGGACCUCGGAUAAAGGAUCCGCGUUCAGAAAAAUCGUUUCGCACACCGACUUAUCGGGAGCAUCUUAUCGGGAGCAUCUUGCGCGACAAUGGAACAGUUUCGUUGGAAAAUGGGAGAAAAGUGUGGAGGAGAGCAACGUCUCUCUGACAGGUUUCUGGCGUGGAUCAACGAUCCGCGAAGUCUUUACAAUGCACUCCUUGCACUUAUCCAAUGUGUCACGGCGAGAAAGAAUGAGGGACUCUCUCCUUGGAGCUCCACGGAUCUCGAAAAGACCAAAACAUAAACCACGCGCAGCGUCCGUACAAUAUGCCCUACUAGCUGCUCCGCCCUUUCGUCCCAUCGCCCUCGAUCCACCGCCACCUCCAUUCGCAGCGUUCUCUUGGAAGAGACACAAAGCCAGGCCAGAGUUAUCUUGAUGAACCCUAAGUACUACAAGACCUAUUUGGAGGAGAGAUAGGUUCCGGAGUGGGGAUACGAGAGGGUGGACAGAGAGCGGGGUCGCACAAUGAAGAAAAGAAUAAGGUAGAAGACCCGCGAGAGAUGGAGAAAGAGAGAGAGAGAGAGAGGGACAAGAGUCCAUCCACCUUGGAAAAGAGAUCUUUCACGGUUGUCGAUGCCACUGUGAUAAGGAACGGCAUUCUCCGCUGCUACUCUUUUACUACCACCGUCGCUAUAUUGCCUCGUCGCUGCUGUGCGCAGCUUUCUCGUCGCUUCAACCGAUCGGUGACAAACCACUUCGCGAAAUGCCUUUUUUCCCCCGAGACAUAGAGAAGGCCGUGUAUCAAAAGCCAAGGAAUGCGCUUCUACUACUUUCGAUCGUCGCUUUAAACGGACGUUAAAUAGAUGCUGACGAAGCACGUUUUGCAAGGUGAACAUUUUAUGUGCGAUUCGGACGUUUGCUCUUAAUCAUAUACAGACGAAUGAAGAAAAAGAACGUGUAACACCGUGUUUUUCUUCACGCACAUAUAUAAUUUGUUCGGAAAAACCACGGUGAUUAAUUAACGAUUUUAGGUUUUUUUACACGACCUAAGACGCCGAGGUAUUUCAACGAGUGUUUCUUUCUCUUUUUCUCAUCGCAGAGCGACCAUUCUAUUUAGGAGACAACAAUUAAAAGACGCAUCGUUAUUCUUCUAGUCAAUUAUUUACAAGCAUCUGUCAAUAAAAUAUUUUAAAUUGUCGGCAAGAAAAAUGCGUUAAA